UACGGAGGGUGCGAGCGUUGUCCGGAAUCAUUGGGCGUAAAGGGCGCGUAGGUGGCCCGGUCAGUCUUUGGUGAAAGCGCGGGGCUCAACCCUGCGUCGGCCAGGGAUACUGCCGCGGCUCGAGCACUGUAGAGGCAGGCGGAAUUCCGCGUGUAGCAGUGAAAUGCGUAGAUAUGCGGAGGAACACCGAUGGCGAAGGCAAUCCCCUGGGCCUGCACUGACGCUCAUGCACGAAAGCGUGGGGAGCAAACAGG
rnacentral:rRNA from 1 species